GGAAGCUAGAAGGAGAGAUGUUAAGAAGAUGUUAUUAGGCUCCUUUCAUCGGGGUUGGCAGAAGCUGGGGCUAACAGUGGGAGCUCACCCCACUCCCUGGAUUCAAACCACCAACCUUUUGAUCAGCAAGGAGUAUGAAAAAGGUGUGCAAAAACGCAGAUAGA
rnacentral:lncRNA from 11 species